UACGAAGGGGGCUAGCGUUGUUCGGAAUUACUGGGCGUAAAGCGUGCGCAGGCGGCUUCUCAAGUCAGGGGUGAAAGCCCAGAGCUCAACUCUGGAAUUGCCUUUGAGACUGAGUGGCUUGAGUACGAGAGAGGUGAGUGGAAUUCCCAGUGUAGAGGUGAAAUUCGUAGAUAUUGGGAAGAACACCGGUGGCGAAGGCGGCUCACUGGCUCGUAACUGACGCUGAUGCACGAAAGCUGGGGGAGCAAACAGG
rnacentral:rRNA from 1 species